rnacentral:lncRNA from 1 species
GCCAAAAACUAAAAAUAAAAUAAAAUAAACAAAAUAAAGAUAGUGUGCUCUCUAUAACUAAAAAAAAAAGAAAAAAUUAAAAAAAGAAACCAUUCAUGGGAAAUUAUACAAAAAUUCUAAACAAAAUAUUUGGAGAUUUAAUCUGGCAAUAAAUAAAAUAAUGAUACAUCAUGUCCAAGUGUGUUUAUGAUUAUUUUAGUAUGCAAGCUAAGUGCAACUUUUUGAAAGUCAAUUUAUGAAUUUACCACAUUUAACAAACUAAACAAGCCACAUGAGGUGGUGCAUGCCUGUAAUCCUAGCUACUUGGGAGCCCAGCCUGAGCACUUUAGCCAGACCCUGUCUCGACAUAAAAUAAAAAGGGCUGGGGAUGUAAGUCGGUGGUAGAGUGCUUGGCUAGUACAUAUGAGGCAAUGGGUUCAAUCCCUAGUACUGUUAAACAAAAAAAAUCCAGCAUUACAACUAAACAUCUUAACUGGCUUUAUUUUCAAUUCUUAGAAUUAGGCAACCUUCAUUUCAUAAAAGAGCAUUCCUAUGGGCUGAGCUGAAGAGGUUGGUUUUAUAUAAAGAAAGUCUGAAGAAAGAAGCAACACAAGAACAAAUAGCAAACUGGUAUUUCAAUUACUUUCCUUGUAAAGUGGAUUACUUCCUCUUUCAGAAAUAUCUACUAUAGGGCUGGGGCUGUAGCUCGGUGGUAGAGUGCUUGCCUUGCAGGUGUGAGGCCCUGGGUUCAAUCCUUAACACCACAUAAAAAUAAAUAAUAAAGAUGUUGUGUCCAUCUACAACUAAAAAAUAUUUUUAAAAAAGAAAUAUUUACUUCUGUUAAUGUAGAUAUAUAUAUUUGUGGGUGUAUGUGUGUAGUGCUGGGGAUUGAAUGUUAAUGGAUAUUAAACUCUCUAUAGAGCUAACAUUCUUGAGAUAAUGUUUUGGGGGCUGGGGAUGUGGCUCAAGCGGUAGUGCGCUCGCCUGGCAUGCGUGCGGCCCGGGUUCGAUCCUCAGCACCACAUACAAACAAAGAUGUUGUGUCCGCCGAUAACUAAAAAUAAAUAAAUAUUAAAAAUUC